rnacentral:lncRNA from 1 species
AAUUCCUGAGAGCAAAUUCCCCACUACGCCUAUGGCGCAGCAGCCCAGGAGUUUCUUUCUUUUGCAUCAAACCAGAACUCUGCUGGGAUAUUGAUGUUUUUCCCAGGAUGUCCCUCUAAUGUGGGGGGAGAAAAGAACUGUAAAGAUCUAGUCUGAAGCCCGUGAGCCUGCACGGCCCAGUGGAAGGGAGGAAGGAGCCUGUGACAAACGUUUAUUACGGAGUAUGAAAAUCAGGAAGCUUUUUGUUCACUUCAUACAUCUCCUCCAACAAAGCCAGGCAUCAGCACCCCGGCACAGACUCCGGAGUGAUUAUUGUUACACAUGAUCUAUGGAGCAGAUAAAUUACAGCUUGAUUUUUAUAAGACAGGAGAAAACCCCCGCGGAACCAGCCAGCACAUGUUUCGUGGCAGGAUCAGGGCCUCAGACACCACAAACUCUUCCUUUUUGGGCUGAAGAUCCUGAGAAGCUGCGGAAAAUUUGGGCAGAAGGUUUGUUGGAAAACUACAGCUAGCUUUCCCAGCAGGACAAUGUUUUACAUUCUGGGGUGGCUUUUUUGGUUUGGAUUUUUUUUUUUUUUU